rfam:Loxodonta africana unplaced genomic scaffold scaffold_36, whole genome shotgun sequence.
CCCUGGGUGAUGAAAACAGCUAACAUGUUUGGUUGCUAACCAAAAGGCUAGAGGUUCAAGUCCACCCAGAGA